rnacentral:rRNA from 1 species
CUACGGAGGAUGCAAGCGUUAUUCGGAAUCACUGGGCGUAAAGGACGCGUAGGCGGGUUGGCAAGUCAGAUGUGAAAUCCUACAGCUUAACUGUAGAACUGCAUUUGAAACUGCUAACCUAGAGUAUGGGAGGGGGAGAUGGAAUUAGUGGUGUAGGGGUAAAAUCCGUAGAUAUCACUAGGAAUACCGAAAGCGAAGGCGAUCUCCUGGAACAUAACUGACGCUAAGGCGUGAAAGCGUGGGGAGCAAACAGGAUUAGAAACCCUAGUAGUCC